rnacentral:rRNA from 1 species
UACGUAGGGGGCAAGCGUUGUCCGGAAUCAUUGGGCGUAAAGAGCGUGUAGGCGGUCCGGUAAGUCGGCUGUGAAAGCUCGGAGCUCAACUCCGAAAUGGCAUUGGAAACUACCUUGCUCGAGGGUUGGAGGGGGGACUGGAAUGCUUGGUGUAGCAGUGAAAUGCGUAGAUAUCAAGCGGAACACCAGUGGCGAAGGCGAGUCCCUGGACAACUCCUGACACUGACGGCACGAAAGCGUGGGGAGCAAACGGG